AGGACGAACGCUGGCGGCGUGCUUAACACAUGCAAGUCGAGCGGAAAGGCCCUUCGGGGUACUCGAGCGGCGAACGGGUGAGUAACACGUGAGCAAUCUGCCCUUAGCUUCGGGAUAGCCCCGGGAAACCGGGAUUAAUACCGAAUACGACCUCGGCCGACAUCGGCUUUGGUGGAAAGUUUUUCGGCUAGGGAUGAACUCGCGGCCUAUCAGCUUGUUGGUGGGGUAAUGGCCUACCAAGGCGACGACGGGUAGCCGGCCUGAGAGGGCGACCGGCCACACUGGGACUGAGACACGGCCCAGACUCCUACGGGAGGCAGCAGUGGGGAAUAUUGCGCAAUGGGCGAAAGCCUGACGCAGCGACGCCGCGUGGGGGAUGAAGGCCUUCGGGUUGUAAACCCCUUUCAGCAGGGACGAAGCGAGAGUGACGGUACCUGCAGAAGAAGCGCCGGCUACUACGUGCCAGCAGCCGC
rnacentral:rRNA from 1 species